CAGGCAGUGGGAGCGUGUCCCCACCUGCCAGCCCAGAGUCUGGGCCCCGAGCCCACCCUCUCCCCACCAAUCGUCUCUGUGUCCAGCGGCUUCACCCCUGGAGUCUUUGUAGGGCUCGGGCCGAGGUGAUGGGGUCUGAGCACGGAUGCGGGCAAGGCCUUGGGCUGGGACACCCAGUGCUGCUGCUGCUGCUGCUGCUGCUGCUGACCACUCUGCUCCCUGUCCACCAGGCCUUCACCUACGAUUCCGUGACCAAAGUCCUAGGGCAAAUCGACUACUACUGUUGGGAAAUAGCCACUAGGGAAUUCCUGGAGAAUGUAUACAAGAAAGACCCCCAAAAAUACCAACUGUGGGAAACAGUGCAAAAGUUAGAAAUGUUGACUGAUUCAAAGGAUGUUGAUUUCUUCAACAGAGUAUCUGAUGACUUUUGGAAAAUAUAUCUAGCGUGUAUCGGCAGUGAACAUAUAAUGGAAGACUGAAGCAUCGGGACGAAUGGCUUUAUAGGAUCUUGGGGAAAAAUGGGACGAAGAUAGAAAAGCCCCUGGAAAAGACUCCAUCCAGUUGAAGGAAGCCGUCCAUCUGCUUCUUGGAAGCAAAGAUCGCCCAAACUCCCUCUUCUGACCUUCUCCUGAGGAUUCCCAUUGGCAGAACGAUGGCUGAAACUCCCAUUCUUUCUCCUCAAACACACAAAUACUACCCCAUCUGUCUGGCUGGUGAACUGGUCUGCCCCUCCAGGCGAUGUCUGAGUGCUCUCGGGUCUUGGAGGGCAGCAGAUAACAUUUGGUCACUUUCUACCUAAAGGUACCUGAUCUAAACCCGAGACCGGGGUCUCCGGACCCUCACGCAUCAAACUCCACUAUUAAGGCUCAGGGGCAGGAGUCCAGCUCAGAUUUCACACACGCGCUGGGUGUGGGCUCAGUAGUGACGUGUGGCUCCUUGCUUCUAAUUAAGGAUUUCUCAGGACCAUAUUAAGCAUUUAAUACAGUGCUCUGCACACAGUAAAUGCUCAAUAAAUAUCAUUGAUUGAUUGAUUGCA